GGGGGCGAAGUGGGCUCGACGGGGGUGUGUAGGCCUAAACGGCGUGCCGAGGUCCCCACCGCCUCGUAAAAAAGGUGGGGGAAACACAAGUGCCGACGAGUAUGCCUACGCUCUGGCGGCCUAAAGGAUAGAGCCGCCCGCUCCGGGUUCUUCCUCGGCCCGCGGGAGGCCCGGGGCGACGGGUUAGCGGGCUGGGUUUAAGGGAGUGCCUGCCUCCCUUAAACCGAGAAUUUUGCAGGCUGGGUCGGGAGGAAGCGCCCGGGUCUUCUCUCCCGGCCGAGAUGGCCUACCCGGGCUACGCACGUAGAAGUUUAGGCUGAAGCACCUCCGGACGCGGGUUCGAUUCCCGCCGCCUCCACCA
rnacentral:tmRNA from 1 species